GACAGAGGGGGCAAGCGUUGUCCGGAGUUACUGGGCGUAAAGGGCGCGGAGGCGGUCUGCGGCGUCGGCGCUGAAAGCGCCCCGCUUAACGGGGCGAGGCGUGCCGAUACGCGCAGGCUCGAGGCGGGCAGAGGGUGGCGGAAUUCCGGGUGGGGCGGGGAAAUGCGUAGAGAUCCGGAGGAACGCCAGUGGGGAAGCCGGCCACCUGGGCUCGACCUGACCCUGCGGCGCGACAGCGUGGGGAGCAAACCCG
rnacentral:rRNA from 1 species